CUCGGGAGAAGGAACUCGGCAAAUUUGGUACCGUAACUUCUGGGAUAAGGUUACGACCCUGCGUAGCUUGAUUGGUUUUACUCCUGAGGCGGUGAAAUAGGGUUGCCAAUGAUAAAAACUUUGGUGGGCUGCGACUGUGUUUUUAUAUAAAACACAGCACUUCUGCCAAACACGAAUAGUGGCUUAUGUAUAUGGGGUUGUGACGCCUGCCCGGUUGCUGGAAGAGUUAAAUGAUUGGUGGUGCAAGCUCUUGAUUUUGCUAAGUCCCAUGUAAACUGGCAGGCCGUAAAUCUUAUAACCGUCUAAGGUUAAAAGCCGAAAUUCCUUUGUCGGGUUAAGUUUCCGACCCUUGCACGAAUGGCGUCCCGUGAACGAUGGCCACACUGUCUCCUCCGAGAUCUCAGCGAAGUUGAAAUGUUUGUGAUGAUGCAAUCUACCGCCCUGGCUAGCGUGUAAAGACCCCAUGAACCUUUUAUCUGUAGCUUUUGCCAUUGCCGACUUGAAACCAAUUUCUGUGUAGAUAGUUGGGAUGGCUUUGAAGCGGUGGACGCUCUAGUUCUCGUGGAGGCCAUCUCUUGAAAUUACACACCCUGGUUGUUUGAUUGGGUUUCUAACCUUUGCGCUCGUUAUUCCGGUCAUUCGGCGGGACAGUGCAUGGUAGCAGUUUUGACUGGGCGGCGUCUCCUUUCCUAAAGUGUAAACGGAGGGAGUUCGAAGUACGCUAUGGUACGGUCGCGACACCCCCCCCCCCCCCCCCCCCCCCCCCCCCCCCCCCCUCCAACCCCCCCCCCCCCCCCCCCCCACCCCCCCCCCCCCCCCCCCUUCGUGCUAAUAGUGCAAUAGGAUAAUGCGUUGCUUAACUGGCGGAGACGACAAGUCGAGCCAGGCCUACGAAAGCUUAGGACAUAGUGAUCGGUGAGUUCUGUAUGGAAUGCGUCGCCAUCGGCCUCAUACGGAUAUAAAAGCGCUUUACUCUUGGGGAUAUACAGGCAUGAUUUCCUCCCAAGAUUCAUUAUUCGACUGGCGGAGUUUGGCAACCUCUGAUGUUCGGCUCAUCAUUUAUUCCUGGGCGGCUGUAGCGUCCCCAAGGGUUAUGGCUGUUCGCCCAUUUAAAAGUGCCGUAUCGUGAGGCUGUGCGUUUAAAACUUCGUGAGACAGUUUUGACGUCCCUAUCUGCUGUGCGGCCGUUGGAAAUUGUGAGGGGGCUGUCUUCCUGAGUACGAGCAGGUACCCGUGAUGACCGCAAGCCUCUGGUGUACCGGUUUAUGCUCACUGCCAGUUGGCUUAUUGCCGGUGUAGCUAAUGUUCGGAAGAGGAUAACCGCCUGAAAGCACUCUAAGCUGGGAAACUCGCCUUGAGAUGAGAUUUUUCCCGGAGCCCUUGAGACUCCUGAAGGGUCGUUCAGACCAGGACGUUUGAUAGGUCGGGUUGUGGAAAGGUGCAUCAAUGCAUUAAGCUUAAACCGAUACUAAUUGCCCGUACGGCUCUUGUCC
rfam:Massilia sp. WF1 contig31, whole genome shotgun sequence.